GCCUGUUUGAUGUACAAGCUGCAGAUAUGGGGAGCACUGGUAGAAGGGACAUUGCCUGAACAUAUACAAUCGUUAUUGGGCCUCUUAGACCAGCCCAUCUACAUCACUGUAAACAACAUAGGAGAGGUCAGAAAUUUGAAACAUGACAGAAGGGAAUUUGAAUAACCACACAGACAGUUGUUAAAUUUAUCAGACAAAUAAGAUCUUUGUUAGGACAUUUGGAAAAGGCAGGAGAUGACAGGAUUCUCAAGAAGAUAACGAAAGGAAAAUUGUGUGCCAGCACGUAAAAAAGGUGCAGACAGUGGAGAAAAAUGGAUGACAGUGAUGCAUGGAAGCCAUUUGAUGAGGAAGUGUAGGUAUAUUAUUGCUCGUAAUGUGUAAGGAAAAUGAGGAGACCAAUAAUUUAUGAGAUGUCUACAGACUGUUCUGUUAUGGCACUUACUUAAAAUUGCUUGCUAGACCAUUAAUGAUACUCUUACAGGCUUAUAAAAGCCAGUUUUCAUGCUGAAUUUGUUAUCCAACUUUUGACAUAACCAUUGUGAUUAUUUAGUAGUGCAUAAGUACGCAGAAAAAAUCAUAUUUAUAUAAAUCUAAAUUGAACUGAUAACAACACAAGAGGUAAAUAUUAACAGAUCUUUCAAGGGAAUUUUAUUUCGUGGAAAUAAAUGGACAAUAAAGACUGCAUCUUAAAAAAUUAA